GUUAUGGUAGCCGUGCAGUGGUUAUGGUACUGUCAGUGGUUAUAGUAGCCGUGCAGUCGUUAUGGUGGUACUCGCAGUGGUUAUGGUGGUAGCCGUGCAGUGGUUAUGGUGGUACUCGCAGUGGUUAUGGUUGCGCAGUCAGUGGUUAUGGUACUAUCAGUGGUUAUGGUGGCAGCCGUACAGUGGUUAUAGAACUGUCAGUGGUUAUGGUACUGUCAGUGGUUGUAGCCGUGCAGUGGUUAUGGUACUCGCAGUGGUUAUGGUGGUACAGUCAGUGGUUAUGGUGGUACUUGCAGUGGUUAUGGUGGUAGCCGUGCAGUGGUUAUGGUGGUAGCCGUGCAGUGGUUAUGGAACUGUCAGUGGUUAUGGUACUAUCAGUGGUUAUGGUGGUAGCCGUGCAGUGGUUAUGGUGGUAGCCGUGCAGUGGUUAUGGUACUCGCAGUGGUUAUGGUGGUACAGUCAGUGGUUAUGGUGGAAGCCGUGCAGUGGUUAUGGUGGUAGCCGUGCAGUGGUUAUGGUGGUACAGUCAGUGGUUAUGGUACUGUCAGUGGUUAUGGUACUGUCAGUGGUUAUGGUGGUAGCCGUGCAGUGGUUAUGGUACAGUCAGUGGUUAUGGUACAGUCAGUGGUUAUGGGACAGUCAGUGGUUAUGGUGGUAGCCGUGCAGUGGUUAUGGUAGCCGUGCAGUGGUUAUGGUGGUAGCCGUGCAGUGGUUAUGGUACUCGCAGUGGUUAUGGUGGUACAGUCAGUGGUUAUGGUGGUACAGUCAGUGGUUAUGGUGGAAGCCGUGCAGUGGUUAUGGUGGUAGCCGUGCAGUGGUUAUGGUGGUAGCCGUGCAGUGGUUAUGGUAGCCGUGCAGUGGUUAUGGUGGUAGCCGUGCAGUGGUUAUGGUACUCGCAGUGGUUAUGGUGGUACAGUCAGUGGUUAUGGUGGAAGCCGUGCAGUGGUUAUGGUACUGUCAGUGGUUAUGGUACAGUCAGUGGUUAUGGUGGUAGCCGUGCAGUGGUUAUGGUGGUAGCCGUGCAGUGGUUAUGGUACUCGCGGUGGUUAUGGUGGCGGUUACCUUGGUGCUGGGGUCCGGGUCCCGGCACACGCGGUAAGUCUCCUCAUCGCUCAGACCGCUCAGCUCCGGCUGCUCCGCCAUGUCCGCCUCACACACUGACAGAGCGGCAGCCAAUCACAGCAAUCCUCCCAGCAACACCCGCCUUAACACGCCCACAGCUCGACAGCCAAUCACAGCGCGGGAUUCGGAGACAGCCAG